UCCAUGUGCUAUACAGUAGGCUCUUAAUAGGAAAAAGGUGAGUACACAUGUUAGUUUCCUAUCAAGGUGGCCCAGCAAGGCCCAAGCUCUGUCUUCGUUCUGCCCUUGUCUGCUUUUCCAUUCUACGGCAAAAGGUCCGGAUGAGCAGGAAAAAAUCAAAAGAGUAGGAUCCUGGGUGAAAGUUAUAAAGCUAUUAUCGUAAGACAACUGUGGCUACUCAGGUCAACAGGAGUCCUAUUCAGACGAGGCCUGCAGUAGCCAGGAACGCUCCUUCUCGGGAAAUUUUGGUAGCUUGAUCCAGCCCAGAAUAUUUUGAGAAAGAAAUACAUUGAAAGUAUUACACUGUUGAGGGAAAAGAAGAAAAACAAAGAUGUUAUAAAACUUCAAUAGGCAAAUCAAACCAUCAGCAUAUGGAUGGGUAUAACAGAAUGUCUCAAACACAGACCCUAAUAGAGAUAAAAAAUUAGUACGUGGUAAAGAUCCGUGAGGAAAGGGAGAUUAGUCAAUAAAGGAUGUUAGGACCCAACCAUGUGGAAAAUAUUAAAGAUAAUCCCUAGCUCUCCCCAUAUACCAAAAUAAAUUCCACAUGCACUUAACAGUUAUAUGCAAAAAUAACAUAGAAAUAGAAGACAUGGGGAAAUUUCAGAUCUUGAGAGAAGAAUUUUAUAGCUAUAAAAGCUUAGACAUAGGUUAAAAAGUAAAAGAUUAUUGGGUUUGACCACAGAAACAUUAAAACUUCUAGGCAUCAGUAACACUGGAAAGGUGUCUGUGAUAAGUAUCACACAGAAUCUUAUUUUUAUGUGAAAGGCUAUUGCAAAACAAUGAGAAAAGUGCUAACAUAACCAUAUUAAAAUGGACCAAGGACACGAGUAAAGAACAGAAAUACAAAUGUUCAACAAACAUGUAAAAUACUCAUAUACAUUAAUCAAAAAUGUAAAUCAAACCAAUAAUGAAAAUUCAUUUUGCCCAUUAAUCUGCUGUAGGACAGACACUCUUUCACAUUUCUGGUCAGAGUUCACACUGAUAGAAACUUUCUUAAAACAAUAAUAUUAAUCAAGAGUCUUCAAAAUGGCCAUAUCCUUUCAUUAUGCUCUCCUACUUCUACGAAUGCUCUACUGUCAGAUAAGAACACAAAGACUUACUCACAAGGUUUUCCAUUUCUGGAGUAGCUCAAAAGUUUGGGGAGAUGGGCUCUACAUCUGUUACAGUUGUUAGCAUCCAAAUGAUGGAAUAUUAUGUAGCCAUUCUUAUCAUUAUUUUUUUAGGGAAAUGCCCAUGAUGUAACGCUAAGGGAACGACUUUGGAUGUGAAACCUGUACAUACUGUAUAUUUUAAAAGACUGAAAACAAAAACCUAAAGUUUUCAGAUGGGAUAGUGGGGAUAGGGUGUGGUUUAUUUUCUCCUUUUAUGAGUGUGGUUUCUUUCCGCACAGUAAAAUAGAUUAAUUUACGAUAGAAAACAAGUUGUUGAAAAUAGCAUGACCUUCUGUGUCUGAACCCCUCAUGCAGACUCGGAUGGUAGGAGAUGGAUGUUUUCCCCAAGUGGUGGUGGCCAGGGUUGGGGCCAGUGUGAUGGGGGGAGUGGAGGCACAUUUCAUCCCUGCAAGUGUGGCCAUCUCUCACAAAGCAGACCCAGCAUUCCCAAAGCUUCUUGUAUGUAAGUUUCUUCUGCACUUGGCAAAUCCCUCAGGACAGGCAUUCCCAGCCUAGCUGGGGAAGAAGAGUCUUCAGAACCCCAAAGAGCUAUGGCCUCACUUGCCCACCACCAUCGGCACAUCUGUCCCUUAGAAGGGGAAGAUACUGUCAAAUUAGGGGUCCUUUAGGGUUGGUUAGAGGUUUCAGUUCUCUGUGUACCAUGAAGCCAAAAGGGCUUUAUUCUCUAUGUUGGCCAAAGGCUGGCACAGAUAAGCUCCACAAAUCCCAGUACCAUCUGGCUCUGGGCUCCAUCACGUAAACCGGGGAAGGAACUUUAAAACACACCCAGCAGCUCCAGUUGGGGCUGCAGAGCUGUCCUCUUUUAGGGUCUGCUCUAGCACUGGAUAAGGGCUGGCUGGAGCCAGCUCGUGCCGCUGGCUGAGCCCCUUGUCUGCAUCUCUUCCCAAGUCAAUAGUCACCACAUUGGUAGCUUAAGGUUGGCCAUUGUAGGAGUAUUUAUACCAUGGAAAUAGACAGAACAAAUUAGGAUUUUUUUCUUUUUUCUGGAGAGCCCAGAAUUACCACUGGCUGUGCUUAAUUCAACAAUGAUUUUAUUCUCUCUCACAGUCUGUGUGUGACAGGAAAUGAGGAAGGGCUGGAUUGAUGGUUGUGGGUCUCUCGUGAGCAGAGAGCAGCCGGCGGCUAGCUGGAGAUCCCCCGCACCUCACAGCCAUGUGCUUUCUCCAUGUGGGGGGUUUGGGCUUCCUCGCAGCAUGGAAGCUUCAGAGCCAUCAGAAUGCUUACGUGGAGCUUAGAAUUUCCGAUGCAUCCCCACCAAAGACUAAGGAAAGGACUCAGAAUACUUUGCAGUAGGACCUGAUUGUAGACAUGUGGGUGCUUACAUGCGAUGGCAGAGACAUUUCUUCUCACCACAUGUCACAUGCCCUGCCGUGUUUCCCAGUCCCCUUGCAGGUAUAUAGUGGGGUUUUCCAGAGGUUGUAUGUUGUGUAAUGUUGCACUGGAGUGAACACAGGAGCAAUGGUGAGAAUCUACCUGUCUUCUGUUAACCGAGAUCUUGAAGAGAUUUGCAAAACUGUAAAGCAAUGCCACUCUCCUAGGCUGAAAUUUUUGUUUUGGAGAGUAUCAUUGUUUUUCCUAAAAAUGUGUUAUGUGUGACUAUGUAGUGGGAUUAUUACAUUAUUUUAAAUGAAUUAAUAAAUAAAUA